rnacentral:lncRNA from 1 species
AUGAUUCUAGGGGCACAUUGUAAAUUCUGGAGCUUUGAAACCAAAUUUGCCGCCAUACAACUGUUGACAGCGAUGAAGUCAACAAGUCCCUUUGAUUUCGGGAUUUAAAUCCCGUUACCGCGUUGCCAUUUUCGGGACUGAUUUCCGCGUUUCCUUUUUAGACUCCAAUCAAGAACCUAGACGUGGUUAUCCUCCGUACAUUCACGUUGGCGACCCAUGAGCCUAUAAAAACCGACUCUUCCAACCAUUUCCAACAUCCCACAACCUGUUUCGAUACCCUUCACACAACUCGACACCCUCACUAUUCGAUAACAUCUUUCGUAGAACUUCGCACUCUUGCCUGGACAACCGGAGCUUCGCCGGAAGGAAACAAACAUUGCCGGAGGACCUGCUAGUCACCGGUGAUACGCGUAGUUUUCAUCGGAAUUCGACUCGACUCGCGUUCGGUUAACCGUUUUGUUCGUUCGGAAAUCCUUAUUUUAUACUCGUACGAAUCUCCUUAUACGCAACCACUGUGAACAGGUACGAAGAGAAGAUUGGACAUAGGAUGUGCCUUAGUUAA